GACGACGCUGGCGGCGUGCCUAAUACAUGCAAGUAGAACGAGUUGCGAACGGGUGAGUAACGCGUGGUAACCUGCCUCAUAGCGGGGGAUAACUAUUGGAAACGAUAGCUAAUACCGCAUACCAUCGGAUGUGCCCAGAUGGGAUUAGCUAGUAGGUGGGGUAACGGCUCACCUAGGCGACGAUCCCUAUCUGGUCUGAGAGGAUGACCAGCCAAAAUGGAACUGAGACACGGUCCAGACUCCUACGGGAGGCAGCAGUGGGGAAUAUUGCACAAUGGGGGAAACCCUGAUCCAGCCAUCACGCGUGUGCGAUGAAGGCCUUCGGGUUGUAAAGCACUUUUGGCAGGAAAGCGGUACCUGCAGAAUAAGCACCGGCUAACUACGUGCCAGCAGCCGCGGUAAUAC
rnacentral:rRNA from 1 species